UACGUGAGGGGCUAGCGUUGUCCGGAAUCAUUGGGCGUAAAGCGCGCGCAGGCGGCCCGGUAAGUCCGCUGUAAAAGUCAAAGGCUCAACCUUUGAAUGUCAGUGGAUACUGCCGGGCUAGAGUCCGGAAGAGGCGAGUGGAACUCCUGGUGUAGCGGUGGAAUGCGCAGAUAUCAGGAAGAACACCGACGGCGAAGGCAGCUCGCUGGGACGGUACUGACGCUGAGGCGCGAAAGCGUGGGGAGCGAACAGG
rnacentral:rRNA from 1 species